UACGUAGGGUGCGAGCGUUGUCCGGAAUUACUGGGCGUAAAGAGCUCGUAGGUGGUUUGUCGCGUUGUUCGUGAAAACCGGGGGCUUAACCCUCGGCGUGCGGACGAUACGGGCAGACUUGAGUACUGCAGGGGAGACUGGAAUGCUUGGUGUAGAGGUGAAAUUCGUAGAUAUCAAGCGGAACACCGGUGGCGAAGGCGGCCUUCUGGACAGUGACUGACGCUGAGACGCGAAAGCGUGGGGAGCAAACAGG
rnacentral:rRNA from 1 species